rnacentral:rRNA from 1 species
AUUAGGGUUUGAUCAUGGCUCAGAUUGAACGCUGGCGGCAGGCCUAACACAUGCAAGUCGAACGGUAGCACAGAGAGCUUGCUCUCGGGUGACGAGUGGCGGACGGGUGAGUAAUGUCUGGGAAACUGCCUGAUGGAGGGGGAUAACUACUGGAAACGGUAGCUAAUACCGCAUAACGUCGUAAGACCAAAGAGGGGGACCUUCGGGCCUCUUGCCAUCAGAUGUGCCCAGAUGGGAUUAGCUAGUAGGUGGGGUAACGGCUCACCUAGGCGACGAUCCCUAGCUGGUCUGAGAGGAUGACCAGCCACACUGGAACUGAGACACGGUCCAGACUCCUACGGGAGGCAGCAGUGGGGAAUAUUGCACAAUGGGCGCAAGCCUGAUGCAGCCAUGCCGCGUGUAUGAAGAAGGCCUUCGGGUUGUAAAGUACUUUCAGCGGGGAGGAAGGUGUUGUGGUUAAUAACCGCAGCAAUUGACGUUACCCGCAGAAGAAGCACCGGCUAACUCCGUGCCAGCAGCCGCGGUAAUACGGAGGGUGCAAGCGUUAAUCGGAAUUACUGGGCGUAAAGCGCACGCAGGCGGUCUGUCAAGUCGGAUGUGAAAUCCCCGGGCUCAACCUGGGAACUGCAUUCGAAACUGGCAGGCUAGAGUCUUGUAGAGGGGGGUAGAAUUCCAGGUGUAGCGGUGAAAUGCGUAGAGAUCUGGAGGAAUACCGGUGGCGAANGCGGCCCCCUGGACAAAGACUGACGCUCNNGUGCGAAAGCGUGGG